GGCGGAUGUAGCCAAAUGGAUCAAGGCAGU
rnacentral:tRNA from 3 species